CUAUGUUCCUGAGGAUUUUACAGGUCUUUUAAAGAACAUGCCGUGCUAAAUGGCCAGUGGCAGAAGCGGUCACCAUCCUCCUCUUCCUCCAGCUGAGAUAAGCUCACAUCAGCAGCAAGGAAAGACAUCCCAAACAAGCACAGAAUAACUGCUAGGUGCUUUAUUUCUUCCCUGAGCAGAACACAGAACUCAGCUUCUCCCUUCCAGGCCAGGACCAAGAACACUGCCACCAAGGAGCCAUCACCACUCAGGGGAAGCCCCAGGCCAAGACAGGCUCCCCCCAUUCCCCCCCCUUAAGGGAGGCCAAGAGGGGC